GAUGGCUCAGUGGUGAGAGCACUCACCUUCCACAUGUGGCCUGGGUUUGAUUCCCAGACUCCA
rnacentral:tRNA from 1 species